rnacentral:rRNA from 1 species
GAUGAACGCUGGCGGCGUGCCUAAUACAUGCAAGUCGAGCGAAUGGAUUAAGAGCUUGCUCUUAUGAAGUUAGCGGCGGACGGGUGAGUAACACGUGGGUAACCUGCCCAUAAGACUGGGAUAACUCCGGGAAACCGGGGCUAAUACCGGAUAAUAUUUUGAACUGCAUGGUUCAAAAUUGAAAGGCGGCUUCGGCUGUCACUUAUGGAUGGACCCGCGUCGCAUUAGCUAGUUGGUGAGGUAACGGCUCACCAAGGCAACGAUGCGUAGCCGACCUGUGAGGGUGAGCGGCCACACUGGGACUGAGACACGGCUCAGACUCCUACGGGAGGCAGCAGUAGGGAAUCUUCCGCAAUGGGCGAAAGUCUGACGGAGCAACGCCGCGUGAGUGAUGAAGGCUUUCGGGUCGUAAAACUCUGUUGUUAGGGAAGAACAAGUGCUAGUUGAAUAAGCUGGCACCUUGACGGUACCUAACCAGAAAGCCACGGCUAACUACGUGCCAGCCGCCGCAGUAA